AUAACCAUGACGCCUGCUAAGUGUUGCUCUGAUACCUACUUCCCUGUGCAGUUACUAGUAUACAAGCAUUGCUUGUCUUUGAGUAAAGUUUCCCUUUUAUCUUUUGUUUAUUAAUGGAUUUACUCAUGCGUUUGUGUCUACUAAGAAACACCCAUUUCUUAAAGGAGUACUCCUUUGUCAUCAUUAUAUACUGUGAUGCUUAAAUUAUCCCAUAACAUGCCCGUGGGAGUACAUUCAAGUGGACCUGCUCUUCAUUUGUUAUCUGUCUAGAAUUCUGGAUUAUCUGACCACCCCUGGGAAGAAAGCCAAAAGCAAAUGCUUCUUGUCAGUGAUACUUUGUGUACUCUGUCUAUCAAUGUCAGGUCUCUUCUAUGAGAAGAACAGCAGACCUGCAGAGAGAACACGCAGAAUGUUGACAAGAAGCUGACAUGAGCCCUUGUUUCCAGUAUGUGAGUCAUCAUUGCCACCAAUGGUCUGGGUCGUUGGCUGUGCACACACAUCCACAGACAGUACAACAACAGCCUCUAGUCCCUUGUUGCUGACCUUUGGGAAGCUGGGCAUGUAAGAAGCUUCUCAGUCUGGACAGCCAUCAGAAAGAAGUGGCUAUGCCACACCCCACUUCUCAGGUAUUGAUUCAGUGUCUGUUGUGGACCCAGAUAUCUAACAUUUUAAUAAGCAUGAUUUAGUGUCUGUCGUGGACACAGAUAUCUACCAUUUUAAUAAGCACUCCCUGCAAAUGUGAUGCAGUAAUGCAUGGCCCUUUCGGGGAAAUGGUCUGAUGGGGAUGGCGUCCAUUUCAGUCCGGGUCAUUUAAAGGAACCCAUGCAGACUUCUGUCAUCUGGGGAGUCUAUGAAUGUCAUUGUUCUACAGUGUGCUGCACUAUGCUGCUACCUGCUCAACAGGAUGUGUUCCUACAAGGCAUCACAGACCAGCUACUGGUCACACGGAUGGGAAGAGAAAAGGAAAUGACUGACCUGAAGAGAACUGACAUUGACAACCUUGAAAAGGAACAAACUUGGAAGAUGAACACCUGACUCCCAAACUCCUUAUAAACAUAGAGAAAUGAAGACAGUGUGCCUCAUUGGAAGUCUGUGCACCAUCUGAGUGAAUACCUAUUGCUCACAGAGGACACCAGAGUUUGAGAUCUCUCAGAACUGGAGUACAGACAGUUGUGAAUCAUCAGCUUGGGUCUAUGUUAACAUCCAUGGUCCACGCUGCCACCAAAGGGCACACAGGAGCCUGGAGUCUGGGCUGUGUCCUCUGGCCUUGUUGGGAUCUGAGCGCUGUGUUGCCAUUGGAGUGACAAUGAUCUGAGAGACCCGAGCUGCCAACCUGGGCCAUGGUGUUGUCCAUGCCUGAGCUGCUGACCAGGGCCAUAUCUGUGACCCAGCAGUAGCCAGGGUCUUUGUCUUCCUGACUCCUGUUACCAUUGAAGGCCAUGCGGAUGCCUGAGGUGUGGGCCACCACCUGAGGCCACGUUGGUGUCCAAAGGCUUUGCUGCAGCUGGUGCCAUCCUGAUCUGUGUGGUCUGUGAAACCACCCGGGAAAUGGUGACAUCAAGGACGAGUUGUUGCCAGGAUCAUGUUGGGUCUAUGGUCCUACCAGAGCUAGGAUAUUUGACUCCAGAAUGAACUCUCUUCUUCCUUCGAGUGUAAACAUAAAGGGAAAUAUCUGCAACCCAGAAGCAGGAGUUUGUAUGGAAGAACCCAGUGUGCUGUGAUGUCUGCCAGACCGGACAGAACAUUGGGACAAAAGGGUGAGUUAGAUCCCUUCCCCCAUCCUUAUCCAUUCAAUAUAAUAACAAUACCUCAUCUUCUGUUCAUUAGCAAUCCUGAGGUUAAACAUGAUCCUGUGUGCAUAAAUGCCUUCUCAUCUCAGCUGGAUAGAAAGACCAAAGCACUUUGGAGUAAGUAUGUUACAGCAGCUAUCCAAGAUCUCCCUGAUAAGAGCUAGAGAGUGGAACUCAAACAUUGUGAUUGCCUGCGAGUCUAACCCUAUUUGAUAUUAUUGUAAUUAUAGCUCCUUCACAAUCACCCCUUGUAAGAACAAAAUCUACAAUACAUUUACUCUAUGUCUAUAGAGGACCACAUCACAUCACUAUGCUUCCUGCUUAAAACAUCACACAGAACUGAGAGAUAUUAAGAGGAAAAUGAAAUUUGUGUUUUGUUUAAUCAUUUUCUGCAUUGAUUUUAUUUUUCCUUCUUCCAGAUAUUUCUAUGUUUCCUCUAUAUGUAGGGAUAGGUCCCGCCCCUUGGGGGGCGUGUUCGCCUCGGGCUAAUGUCUGCCUAUA